rnacentral:rRNA from 1 species
CCAAUAGCGUAUAUUAAAGUUGUUGCAGUUAAAAAGCUCGUAGUUGAAUUUCGGGAUUGACACAUCGGUCGUGCCUUAAGGGGUGUGAACUGGUGUAGUCAAUUUCUCACCUUCUGGAGAACCGCGAUGUCCUUAAUUGGGUGCCGCGAGGAACCAGGACCUUUACUUUGAAAAAAUUAGAGUGUUUAAAGCAGGCAUUUUUGCUUGAAUACAUUAGCAUGGAAUAAUAAAAUAGGACGGCAUGAUUCUAUUUUGUUGGUUUCUAGGAUCACCGUAAUGAUUAAUAGGGAUAGUUGGGGGCAGUAGUAUUCAAUUGUCAGCGGUGAAAUUCUUGGAUUUAUUGAAGACUAACUACUGCGAAAGCAUUUGCCAAGGAUGUUUUAAUUAAUCAAGAACGAAAGUUAGGGGAUCGAAGACGAUCAGAUACCGUCGUAGUCUUAACCAUAAACUAUGCCGACUAGGAAUCAGACGAUGUUAAUUUUUUAAUGACUCGUUUGGCACCUUACG